AUUGAACGCUGGCGGCAUGCCUUACACAUGCAAGUCGAACGGUAACAGGUCUUCGGAUGCUGACGAGUGGCGAACGGGUGAGUAAUACAUCGGAACGUGCCCGAUCGUGGGGGAUAACGAAGCGAAAGCUUUGCUAAUACCGCAUAAGAUCUACGGAUGAAAGCAGGGGACCGCAAGGCCUUGCGCGAACGGAGCGGCCGAUGGCAGAUUAGGGAGUUGGUGGGAUAAAAGCUUACCAAGCCGACGAUCUGUAGCUGGUCUGAGAGGACGACCAGCCACACUGGGACUGAGACACGGCCCAGACUCCUACGGGAGGCAGCAGUGGGGAAUUUUGGACAAUGGGCGAAAGCCUGAUCCAGCCAUUCCGCGUGCAGGAUGAAGGCCUUCGGGUUGUAAACUGCUUUUGUACGGAACGAAAAGACUCUUUCUAAUAAAGAGGGUCCAUGACGGUACCGUAAGAAUAAGCACCGGCUAACUACGUGCCAGCCGCCGCGGUAACAC
rnacentral:rRNA from 1 species